GACGAACGCUGGCAGCGUGCCUAACACAUGCAAGUCGAGCGAUGAAGUUCUUCGGAACGGAUUAGCGGCGGACGGGUGAGUAACACGUGGGCAACCUGCCUUGUAGAGGGGAAUAGCCUUCCGAAAGGAAGAUUAAUACCGCAUAACAUUGCACUUUCGCAUGAAAGAGUAAUUAAAGGAGCAAUCCGCUACAAGAUGGGCCCGCGGCGCAUUAGCUAGUUGGUGAGGUAACGGCUCACCAAGGCGACGAUGCGUAGCCGACCUGAGAGGGUGAUCGGCCACAUUGGGACUGAGACACGGCCCAGACUCCUACGGGAGGCAGCAGUGGGGAAUAUUGCACAAUGGGGGAAACCCUGAUGCAGCAACGCCGCGUGAGUGAUGACGGCCUUCGGGUUGUAAAGCUCUGUCUUCGGGGACGAUAAUGACGGUACCCGAGGAGGAAGCCACGGCUAACUACGUGCCAGCCGCCGCGGUAACAC
rnacentral:rRNA from 1 species